UAGAGCAGAGAUGGUGAAGGAGGAGGAGCAGCAGGCCCUGGCGAGAUCCACGGAGGUGCUUGCCACAGUGAGCCCUGGAAGAGCAGCUGAGCCAAGGCUCUGCGCCAGUCUUGGACUCGGAGCCUCCAGAACUACUGUCUACACGGCCUCCACCUCACUGUGUGCAGACUGUCUGCACUGCCUCCACCUCACUGUGAGCAGACUGUCUACACGGCCUCCACCUCACUGUGCAGACUGUCUACACCGCCUCCACCUCAGACUGUCCACACUGUCUCCAGAAGGUAAGCAGGAAGCUGGGAGCCGUGGAAGCUCAACACCAAGAGUGAAGAAAACGAAAGCUCUCAAGAGGAAAGCCAAGGAUCUGUGUGAGGUGAGUAGAAGGCGCAGUCUUGUGUUUUCUACAAAGGGUGAGGGGUGGAGGCAGGGUUAAACCCCGCGCAUCAGAUGAGCCAUUUCCACCUCAGAGGCUACAUCCAUCUCAGAGAGGAAAAGAGGGAUGUGAGAAACACCUUUAGGAUGACUCCAUUGUGCCCAGAUGAUCACUGUCUCCCACCUGCAGCUGUCUAAAGACAUCCAUGUGUAACUAUGUGUAGCUCAAGGUAGCUCAAGGCAUGUUAUCAAGACUCCUAUUAAUGAGAUGCCAAAAACACUCUAACACAUACAAGCUGAUUAAUUCCCCCAAAUGCUGGAAUGUCAUGAUUGGGGUUCCUCUGCAGCCCUCACUGAUGAUUCACAAUGCUCGGUGCUCAGAACUCCUUGUUGCUGUCAGCGCAAGAAGACUGCUUGACCCUGGCUGCUCCUUCCAGUUUCAAACCCUGCACCUGCAAUUCCGGACGGCACCACUAGGCGGCAGGCCAACACAAACUUUAACAAACAAGUCCCAUCUUUUAAGACUACAUCUAAGGAAAAUACAUCCUAAAUUAAAACAAGACACAAAUACAUAUAUUUAAAAACUUAUCAUAUUGAAAUAAAUUAAGAGUAUGAUAAUACCCACAGUUGGCCAGCGUUUGGAGAGACAUGCAGCAUUUGUGCGCUGUUGGUGGGAAUGUAAAUGAGUGCAGCCUCCCAGAGGGCAAUUUGGCAAUGCACAUCAAAAGCCUUAAACAUGUGCAAAUCCUUUGGUGCAACAAUUCGACUUAUAGGCACUUAUUCUAGGGAGAUAAUCACAGAAAUAAGCCUUCACUUACUCCAGGAUGUUGAGUAUAAGGAUGAAAAACUGUCCAUGUUAAUAAUAUAACUCGGAGACUGGCUAAAUAAAACUAUACGUGUGAUCAGAUACUAUGCCGUCAUUACAUACUGUAAGAGUUUCUAAUGAUGUGGGAGUGUGUCAUGAUGUCUCCAGUGAAAAAGAGCAGCAUAUCCCUAUAGCCUUGUUUUUUAUAGUGGUAGCAUGGGAACAAAGUUGCCUAUAAAAAAAGCUAGAACAACACGAAAACAGUGAGAUUGAUUGUCUGUGGGUGGUGGGAGGAAGGACAUUGCUUUUUCCUUUUUUUUUUUUUGUGCCUUUCUCUAUUUUCCAAAUGUUUUACAAUAGACACGACAUGCAUUUAUUGCAACCAUAAGGUUCUGUUAACAAGCCCUUGGGGGCACGAAGGACAGGCAGCCUCUGUUCAGAAAGGGCAUGGAGACAGUGACCCCGGAGUCCUGUCAGCUCUGACCCCUUGAGUCCAUAACCGGCCUCACAGAUGUGGGUGGCCCCUGCUGCCCCUGUCCCUCAGCCCCUCCUACUGGCUGCACACAUGGACCUGGUUUCAGCUGGGGGUGGGGCGGGCCGAGGGGUAAAUGGAGAAAGCACAGGCCAGGCCACCACAGCCUUUGCCCCAUCUUGUCUUGCUCUUUCUCCCGGAGACUCUGGCUCAACGGGAAAAGGAAAAUCCUCCCUGGUCCUGAAGUUUGCCAACAAAAUGAACACGGCCUCUAAGAUUCCCUCAAACAAAAAAAUACCAGCACUAAAAUUCAGCCACAAAACAUCCUAAGACUGAUCAGUCUCAAUUCUGGCUUUCUAUCCAAAUGCUGGUGUAUGCUGAGCGGAUUGUUUUCCGCAUUAAACAUUUUUGUUACA